CCUACGUGUAGCAGCAGUGGGGGAUAUUGCACAAUGGGGGGAACCCUGAUGCAGCGACGCCGCGUGGGUGAAGAAGCGCCUCGGCGCGUAAAGCCCUGUCAGCAGGGAAGAAAAUGACGGUACCUGAAGAAGAAGCCCCGGCUAACUACGUGCCAGCAGCCGCGGUAAUACGUAGGGGGCAAGCGUUAUACGGAUGUACUGGGUGUACAGGGGGCGCAGACGGGGAUGCAAGCCUGGAGUGAAAGCCCGGGGCCCAACCCCGGGACUGCUCUUGGAACUGCGUGGCUGGAGUGCAGGAGGGGCAGGCGGAAUGCCUGGUGUAGCGGGGAAAUGCGUAGAUAUCAGGAGGAACACCGGUGGCGAAGGCGGCCUGCUGGACUGCAACUGACGUUGAGGCACGAAAGCGUGGGGAGCCAACAGGAUUAGAUACCCGGGUAGUC
rnacentral:rRNA from 1 species